UAAGAGAGAGAGAGAGAGAGAGAGAGAGAGAGAGAGAGAGAGAGAGAGAGUGUGGGUGGCAGGAGAAGGGUGAAGGUUAUGACGCAGGUGCACGUGUGUUGCUACAUGUAUUUGAUUAUUCCCUUCCUGCAUGCUCGUCUAGGUCUAAAAUAAUUGUCCAUGCAGCUGUCACUGCAGCACGGGAACACCUGUGGAGCGAGUUUUCCAGGUGUUGAGCACCCUGAACACUGCAAAGCCAGCUAUAGCCUCAAGCCCGCGCGUAGGUAGUGCAUAUACCUACGCUUCCCGUUGCCACAUCUGCACGGUGACCUUCACGGCGAAUUGCAGCUCUACCAGUCAACGAUAUUUAUACAGAUAGACAUACGAGAAUAAAAAAAUAAAUAAAAAAAAUGGGAGGCAGCGACCUGACUGUAAGCAUCCUCCUGUUGGCAUGCUUCCUGCUGGCCUUCACUCCACUCCCCUGUCAGGCAAGGAUGGUGAGCUUCGAGGUGGCCGGGUUCAGCGUCACGCCCGAGCUGGUUGAUGGAGAAAGCACCGAAGCAGCCAUUCAGGGCUUCCCACUUACAAACAAGUGGCGACAUCCACCUGUCAUACGAGUGGUCCAAGCUGGCGUGAUCCAAGGCAGCGCUUUUGACGCAGAGGUGACUGAAUUUGAGACUUUAAUCCCUGAAGAAGACAAAUAGACGAUCAGAGUAGAGAAUGUUGAGCCUGCAUGAUGAAGACACCCAGCUGAGAAUAUCGCGCAAGGUCUCGAUGUAUCCAGUGAACCUUGGCGGCACCAGACAACUGACAGACCGCGAGGGCACGCCCACACUGCUUUCAGAAAUAACAAACUGCUUGUAAACACAAAUAAAUGUAUUAUUCAAAUGGAAAUAAAUUAUGGUUGAGCCAA